GCCAGUGUGGUACAGUGGUUUAAGUGUUGGGAGUAUGACUCUGUAAACUUGGGUUCAAUUCCCAACUCAGCCA